AUUGAACGCUGGCGGCAGGCCUAACACAUGCAAGUCGAACGAGUGGCGGACGGGUGAGUAAUGUCUGGGAAACUGCCCGAUGGAGGGGGUUAACUACUGGAAACGGUAGCUAAUACCGCAUACCAUCAGAUGUGCCCAGAUGGGAUUAGCUAGUUGGUGGGGUAACGGCUCACCAAGGCGACGAUCCCUAGCUGGUCUGAGAGGAUGACCAGUCACACUGGAACUGAGACACGGUCCAGACGCCUACGGGAGGCAGCAGUUGGGAAUAUUGCUCAAUGGGCGCAAGCCUGAUGCAGCCAUGCCGCGUGUAUGAAGAAGGCCUUCGGUUUGUAAAGUACUUUCAGCGGGGAGGCGUUACCCGCAGAAGAAGCACCCGCUGACUCCGGGCCAGCAGCCGCGGUAAUAC
rnacentral:rRNA from 1 species